AUUGAACGCUGGCGGCAGGCCUAACACAUGCAAGUCGAGCGAGCGGCGGACGGGUGAGUAAUGUAUGGGGACUGCCCGAUAGAGUGGGAUAACUACUGGAAACGGUAGCUAAUACCGCAUACUAUCGGAUAACCCAUAUGGGAUUAGCUAGGGGGUGAGGUAAUGGCUCACCUAGGCGACGAUACCUAGCUGGUGUGAGAGGAGGAUCAGCGACACUGUGAUUGAGACACGGCCCAGACUCCUACGGAGGCAGCAGUGGGGAAUGUUGCACAAUGGGCGCAAGCCUGAUGCAGACAGGCCGCGUGUAUGAAGAAGGCCCUGGGGUUGUAAAGUACUUUCAGUCGUGAGGAGUUACCGACAGAAGAAGCACCGGCUAACUCCGUGCCAGCAGCCGCGGUAAUUC
rnacentral:rRNA from 1 species